CUGUAUGUUGGGAGCUCUUAAUCUGCUCUUCAUUCUGUUGGGAGUGAGACUGUGUAUCUGCAGCAUACUAUAUAAAAUAAAGGAGUUUUCCGGGCUGCUGGCCGUACAGUGACAAUUAAGUGAUAGUCUGUUUCUUUUUCAUGA